AGGGUGUUAGUCCAAAACAAGACCUCUGAUUUCGGCUCAGAAGAUUGUGGUUUAAGUCCAUAACCCCCUU
rnacentral:tRNA from 1 species